UACGUAGGGUGCAAGCGUUGUCCGGAAUUAUUGGGCGUAAAGAGCUCGUAGGCGGUUUGUCGCGUCUGCUGUGAAAACCCGAGGCUCAACCUUCGGGCCUGCAGUGGGUACGGGCAGACUAGAGUGCGGUAGGGGAGAUUGGAAUUCCUGGUGUAGCGGUGGAAUGCGCAGAUAUCAGGAGGAACACCAAUGGCGAAGGCAGAUCUCUGGGCCGUAACUGACGCUGAGGAGCGAAAGCAUGGGGAGCGAACAGG
rnacentral:rRNA from 1 species